rnacentral:lncRNA from 1 species
AAAGAUUUCUUGUGUGUGAGCUUGAUGCUAGUGCUUGAGAGGAAUUGUGUGUGUUGGAGUUGUUGAUGUGCAUGACACAAACAUGGGGUUCAAACCCCCAUGUCACUUUGUCAUUGUGCACAUGAAACCCUCCUAUGCAUUGUCAUCUUAAAAGUAUACCUUUUGGAUUUGCAUUUUUCAUUUUGUUGAAAGUUUGGGCUUUGUUUCCAUGGUAUAGAUGGAGCCCAAAGGCAUGGAUCUUGGUGUGUUAGUUGUAGGGGUUUGUGCUCAAUACCAUAGUGGUGUCAAACACCUCUUGGGAACUUGUGUGUGCAAACUAUGCCUAGACAAAGUGGGCAUGUGGCUGGA